GGAAGAUUGGAUAUUUGAAUUAUGAGGAAACAAUUACAAAAACUGUUCCACUUCUCCUUAUAUUCCAAAAAAUUUCAUUCUUCUUAUUCAGAGAAAGAGAGAGACAGUGAGACAGAAAAUUAAAAAACAGAGAAAAACAAGUAUCUCGAAAAGCAGUGAAUAAUUCAACACCACACCAAAGACAUUUUAGUUUGUGAAUCAAUACUCCAUUUUCUAGAGAGAUGAAGAUUGACUUGGGGUAAUUGUGUAAUAGCAAAUUCAACGACUUUCGCUGCAAUAGAUUAAGGUACACUCUAUUUUUAACUUCGAAUUUACUAUUAAUGACAUCAGAGACAGGUUUAUUGCCCCAUUCUUACACGUUAUUCUUCAAGUUUAAGAGAAAUUUGUGUAUGUACAUACCUGUGAGAAAAUCUUCAUAAUUAUUUAUAGCUCACCGGUUUAAUAAGAAAAAAGAAAUUGAAUGGAUCAGGGGAUUGAACCCAACGUGAAUAGAUCAAGUAACCUUCAGAUCUAGAAUCAGAUGUGCUCCAUUAAACCACGGAUCUUGUUGAUAAUCUAUUUCCUUUAUUUGUUUUUGUUGGUGGAAUAAAUAAGCAUAUGUUCUGUGAAAUAAAAAAAAAAAGAGGAACAAGAAGGAAUAAAUGGCGUGUAAAGAAGAUAAAGUGGAUCUGUGCCUUUGUCUUUUGACUUUAUCAAACUUGACAAAUAGAAGGAUUAAUUUUUUUUCGGAGUGUUAAAUACUAUAAAUGCAUUUUCUAGAAAAGUGUGCCUAGAGAAUAGUGCAAUUAAAAUUAGCUCUGUCUUUUAUAAUUUCACUUAUAUUUUCACUACUGUUUCAUUUUAUUUAUUUAAGAAUAGAUGUUUAGAAUCAUUAAAUGAACUUUUUAUAAUAUUAGUGGAAAUUGAUGAUUUUUUUAGGUCAUUUUUUGUCAUUAUUCAUAAAAGUGGAUUAAAUAAAUACUUGGUUGAAUCAGACUUGAUAUUUUUUUUUGCCUUAAUUAGUUCAUAAUAAUUUUAACAGAUUUUAUCUUCUACGAUGAAUUGUGACAUAAGUGUCAGAUUGAGUGGUAAAUUCAUUUUUAUUGUUUCUUGGUUCUUAUUUCAGAAAUGGCUGAACAGGGACAAACUUGAAUCACUCCAAGUGGGAGUUCUGGAUGUCGAGCAAAGAGACAAAGUGGAAGAACACGUCAUCGAAGGGCAUAUUUUUGAGGUCGUGAGAUCAUACAAAAUGAUGUCCCCAGGGCGACACUAAAUCAGUUAUGGAAUGAAAGGGCUAUACGAAGGGAAAGAGCAAAGAAAUUGAAAGAGUUCAAGUCUUUUA
rnacentral:lncRNA from 1 species